AGAUAACCCUGGUAGUCCACGCCGGUAACACGAUGUCUACUUGGAGGUUGUGGCCNUGAGCCGUGGCUUUCGGAGCUAACGCGUUAAGUAGACCGCCUGGGGAGUACGGUCGCAAGAUUAAAACUCAAAUGAAUUGACGGGGGCCCGCACAAGCGGUGGAGCAUGUGGUUUAAUUCGAUGCAACGCGAAGAACCUUACCUACUCUUGACAUCUACAGAAGCCAGCGGAGACGCAGGUGUGCCUUCGGGAACUGUAAGACAGGUGCUGCAUGGCUGUCGUCAGCUCGUGUUGUGAAAUGUUGGGUUAAGUCCCGCAACGAGCGCAACCCUUAUCCUUGUUUGCCAGCACUUCGGGUGGGAACUCCAGGGAGACUGCCGGUGAUAAACCGGAGGAAGGUGGGGACGACGUCAAGUCAUCAUGGCCCUUACGAGUAGGGCUACACACGUGCUACAAUGGCGCAUACAGAGGGCGGCCAACUUGCGAAAGUGAGCGAAUCCCAAAAAGUGCGUCGUAGUCCGGAUUGGAGUCUGCAACUCGACUCCAUGAAGUCGGAAUCGCUAGUAAUCGUGGAUCAGAAUGCCACGGUGAAUACGUUCCCGGGCCUUGUACACACCGCCCGUCACACCAUGGGAGUGGGCUGCAAAAGAAGUGGGUAGUUUAACCUUCGGGAGGACGCUCACCACUUUGUGGUUCAUGACUGGGGUGAAGUCGUAACAAGGUAACCG
rnacentral:rRNA from 1 species